GACGAACGCUGGCGGCGUGCCUAACACAUGCAAGUCGAGCGAGUGAAUCUCCCUCGGGAGUGAAGCUAGCGGCGGACGGGUGAGUAACACGUGGGCAACCUGCCUCAUAGAGGGGAAUAGCCUUUCGAAAGGAAGAUUAAUACCGCAUAAGAUUGUAGCUUCGCAUGAAGUAGCAAUUAAAGGAGCAAUCCGCUAUGAGAUGGGCCCGCGGCGCAUUAGCUAGUUGGUGAGGUAACGGCUAACCAAGGCGACGAUGCGUAGCCGACCUGAGAGGGUGAGCGGCCACAUUGGGAAUGAGACACGGCCCAGACUCCUACGGGAGGCAGCAGUGGGGAAUAUUGCACAAUGGGGGAAACCCUGAUGCAGCAACGCCGCGUGAGUGAUGACGGCCUUCGGGUUGUAAAGCUCUGUCUUCAGGGACGAUAAUGACGGUACCUGAGGAGGAAGCCACGGCUAACUACGUGCCAGCCGCCGCAGUAA
rnacentral:rRNA from 1 species